UACAGAGGUCUCAAGCGUUGUUCGGAUUCAUUGGGCGUAAAGAGCGUGUAGGCGGUCCGGUAAGUCCGUUGUGAAAGUCAGGGGCUCAACCCUUGAAUGCCGGCGGAUACUGUCGGGCUAGAGUCCGGAAGAGGCAAGUGGAAUUCCCGGUGUAGCGGUGAAAUGCGCAGAUAUCGGGAGGAACACCGGUGGCGAAGGCGGAUCUCUGGGCCAUUACUGACGCUGAGGAGCGAAAGCGUGGGGAGCGAACAGG
rnacentral:rRNA from 1 species